rnacentral:sRNA from 1 species
CCCAGAGGUAUUGAUAGGUGGAGUCAACGGUUACGUUGGCCACUCUAAUUACACCAGCCUGCGCAGAUGCGCAGGUUUUUUUU